UACGGAGGAUGCAAGCGUUAUCCGGAUUUAUUGGGUUUAAAGGGUGCGCAGGUUGUUUGAUAAGUCAGUGGUGAAAGUCUGUCGCUUAACGGUAGGAUUGCCAUUGAUACUGUUAGACUUGAAUAUGGAUGAGGUAGGCGGAAUGUGUAGUGUAGCGGUGAAAUGCAUAGAUAUUACACAGAACACCGAUUGCGAAGGCAGCUUACUAAUCCAUCAUUGACGCUCAGGCACGAAGGCGUGGGGAUCAAACAGGA
rnacentral:rRNA from 1 species